AGGACGAACGCUGGCGGCGUGCUUAACACAUGCAAGUCGAGCGGAAAGGCCUUUCGGGGUACUCGAGCGGCGAACGGGUGAGUAACACGUGAGUAAUCUGCCCAUCGCUUCAGGAUAGCCAUCGGAAACGGUGAUUAAUACUGGAUAUGACAUUCCUCCGCAUGUUGGGGUGUGGAAAGUUUUUUCGGCGGUGGAUGUGCUCGCGGCCUAUCAGCUUGUUGGUGGGGUAAUGGCCUACCAAGGCUUUGACGGGUAGCCGGCCUGGAGAGGGUGACCGGCCACACUGGGACUGAGACACGGCCCAGACUCCUACGGGAGGCAGCAGUGGGGAAUAUUGGACAAGU
rnacentral:rRNA from 1 species